CGUAGGCUAACCCUGGCCCAGCAGGAAGUUGCGUAUGUGUCAUUUCUUCAUUCAGUCACGGUAUGUGAGUGGAACAUUUCCCAUUUACAUUUGAUUCGUCUAAUUGAUCGUAACCAAAUUAAGCUACUGUGACAUCGGAGGUCCUUGAAUCAACAGCCUGUGAGAAUCAGCAAUGAAGUGAGGCGGGCCACCCACAACAACAUCCCAGAGGCAACAGGUUUUCCUUGAAGCAGCCUCACAGUGCCCUCUAGUGGACAAAGUCAACAACUGACAGCCAUCCUCCGUUUGGGAGUUUGCUGCAUGUCGCUGUUUAAGACUAGUGAUCUGUUAUGUUAUCAGUAUUUAUAGUUUGUUUACAGAUACAGGCCGUAAAAUGGCGCUAACCUUUGUUCGGAGGACGUGUAGUUAGUUGCACGUUGCUAGCAGCCGGAGCCUCCUGUCUCCCCACGGUGAGGAGCAGCGGAGGAGCAGCAGUGCUUGUGGGGCUCAGCAGCACCGGAGGAAGCACAGCGUGGAUACGAGGAGUUCAGCAAAGUCGCAGCGAAAGUUAAACUUUGUUGGGUGGAAGACUAAAAAAAACC